rnacentral:rRNA from 1 species
UGGAUCCAGACUUUGAUCCUGGCUCAGGACGAACGCUGGCGGCGCGCCUAACACAUGCAAGUCGAACGAGCGAGAGAGAGCUUGCUUUCUCGAGCGAGUGGCGAACGGGUGAGUAACGCGUGAGGAACCUGCCUCAAAGAGGGGGACAACAGUUGGAAGCGACUGCUAAUACCGCAUAAGCCCACAGGUCGGCAUCGACCAGAGGGAAAAGGAGCAAUCCGCUUUGAGAUGGCCUCGCGUCCGAUUAGCUAGUUGGUGAGGUAACGGCCCACCAAGGCAACGAUCGGUAGCCGGACUGAGAGGUUGAACGGCCACAUUGGGACUGAGACACGGCCCAGACUCCUACGGGAGGCAGCAGUGGGGAAUAUUGCACAAUGGGGGAAACCCUGAUGCAGCGACGCCGCGUGGAGGAAGAAGGUCUUCGGAUUGUAAACUCCUGUUGUUGAGGAAGAUAAUGACGGUACCCAACAAGGAAGUGACGGCUAACUACGUGCCAGCAGCCGCGGUAAAACGUAGGUCACAAGCGUUGUCCGGAAUUACUGGGUGUAAAGGGAGCGCAGGCGGGAAGACAAGUUGGAAGUGAAAUCUAUGGGCUCAACCCAUAAACUGCUUUCAAAACUGUUUUUCUUGAGUAGUGCAGAGGUAGGCGGAAUUCCCGGUGUAGCGGUGGAAUGCGUAGAUAUCGGGAGGAACACCAGUGGCGAAGGCGGCCUACUGGGCACCAACUGACGCUGAGGCUCGAAAGUGUGGGUAGCAAACAGGAUUAGAUACCCUGGUAGUCCACACCGUAAACGAUGAUUACUAGGUGUUGGAGGAUUGACCCCUUCAGUGCCGCAGUUAACACAAUAAGUAAUCCACCUGGGGAGUACGACCGCAAGGUUGCAACUCAAAUGAAUUGACGGA